UCAAAUCUGGGGCAACCGCCA
rnacentral:tRNA from 1 species